rnacentral:rRNA from 1 species
GAAGACGAUCAGAUACCGUCGUAGUCUUUACUAUAACGAUGAGGACUGGGGGUCGGGCGAGGAAUUACGAUGACCCGCCCGGCACCUUCGAGAAAUCAAAGUGUUUGCUUUCUGGGGGGAGUAUGGUCGCAAGGCUGAAACUUAAAGGAAUUGACGGAAAGGGCAUCACCGGGGUGUGGAGCUGCGGCUUAAUUUGACUCAACACGGGAAAAACUUACCAGGUCAGGACAUAGUGAGGAUUGACAGAUUGAGAGCUCUUUCUUGAUUCUAUGGUUGGUGGUGCAUGGCCGUUCUUAGUUGGUGGAGUGAUUUUGUCUGGUUAAUUCCGUUAACGAGCGAGACCUGGGCGUGCUAACUAGGGGCUACUACCAUUUUGGUAGUACGCGUUUCCCUUCUUAGACGGACUGUGGGCGUCUAGCCCACGGAAGCUCCAGGCAAUAACAGGUCUGAGACGCCCUUAGAUGUUCUGGGCCGCACGCGUGCUACACUGAGUGGAUCAGCGGGUCAGGUUGCGCGAAAGUGUUUCCUAGUCUUCAAAUCCGCUCGUGAUGGGGAUUGACGGUUGCAAUUUUCCGUCAUGAACGAGGAAUACCUUGUAAGCGCGGGUCAUCAUCCCGCGCUGAAUACGUCCCUGCCCUUUGUACACACCGCCCGUCGCUCCUACCGAUUGAGUGGUCCGGUGAGGCUUUGGGAUCUGAGCGGAAAGAGCGUUUCGCUGUUUCUGUCCGGAAAACUCAGUCGAACCUUAUCAUUUAGAGGAAGGAGAAGUCGUAACAAGGUUUCC